rnacentral:rRNA from 1 species
CCUACGGGUGGCUGCAGUGGGGAAUAUUGGACAAUGGGGGCAACCCUGAUCCAGCCAUGCCGCGUGUGUGAAGAAGGCCCUCGGGUUGUAAAGCACUUUCAGUGAGGAAGAACGCCUGGUGGUUAAUACCCAUCAGGAAAGACAUCACUCACAGAAGAAGCACCGGCUAACUCCGUGCCAGCAGCCGCGGUAAUACGGAGGGUGCGAGCGUUAAUCGGAAUUACUGGGCGUAAAGCGCGCGUAGGUGGCUUGAUAAGCCGGUUGUGAAAGCCCCGGGCCCAACCUGGGAACGGCAUCCGGAACUGUCAAGCUAGAGUGCAGGAGAGGAAGGUAGAAUUCCCGGUGUAGCGGUGAAAUGCGUAGAGAUCGGGAGGAAUACCAGUGGCGAAGGCGGCCUUCUGGACUGACACUGACACUGAGGUGCGAAAGCGUGGGUAGCAAACAGGAUUAGAUACCCUAGUAGUC